rnacentral:lncRNA from 1 species
GUUUCCAAGAUAUGCAGGUGACACCACUGCUUAUCUUCUCCUGGGCCCUGGAAGGUUCAGGCCUCGGGGAUUUGGGUCACUGGCUCCCUGGCUUUGGUCUUGAGCAGAGGGAGGGUGGGGUCUCUUGAGAGGUGGGGCUUAUGGCUCCAUCUUGCCAGCAGGAAGACUCAGCAGGAGCAGGUAGCAGCCCUCCUGUCUCCUGUCUCCUGUCUCCUGUCUCCUGGAUUCUGGGUCUGGAUGCAGAGAGGUUCUCUUGGCCCCUUGGGCCCUUGCAGGAACCUGGGGGACACCUCACUCCGUUGUUCUGAUUCAAUGACCCAGGGGUCCUUUGCUGGACAUGGAGGACGUGUCCUGGGCCCUGACACUGUGUCUGGCAGGUUCUCCUCCUUAGAGGGGUUUCUGCUGAGGGGCCACACAUCCAGAUCUGAUGACAAGGCACACAGCUCAGGCCAAGAGAGCGUGGCACUCAGGACUGAAGCUGUGGGGGCAGCUUGCUCCUGCCAGAGUUUGUAAAGCCAGCUCUGUGCUCUCAUGGUCCCCAGGUGGCUUUGGAGGCUCAGAGCUCUGGGGAGGUUUCCAAGAUAUGCAGGUGACACCACUGCUUAUCUUCUCCUGGGCCCUGGAAGGUUCAGGCCUCGGGGAUUUGGGUCACUGGCUCCCUGGCUUUGGUCUUGAGCAGAGGGAGGGUGGGGUCUCUUGAGAGGUGGGGCUUAUGGCUCCAUCUUGCCAGCAGGAAGACUCAGCGGGAGCAGGUAGCAGCCCUCCUGUCUCCUGUCUCCUGUCUCCUGGAUUCUGGGUCUGGAUGCAGAGAGGUUCUCUUGGCCCCUUGGGCCCUUGCAGGAACCUGGGGGACACUUCACUCCGUUGUUCUGAUUCAAUGACCCAGGGGUCCUUUGCUGGACAUGGAGGACGUGUCCUGGGCCCUGACACUGGUGAGACAGGCUGGAGACCCUGGUGUCCCUGAAGGGUGUGUCUGGGAAGGUCGUGGGGCGGGGGUGCUGAGUUCCUUUUCCUGCUGUUUCUGUGUCCCAGCUGUGGUGGGGCCCUGAGGGAGGUUGGGGCACGUGGGGCAGGGAUUCUGGAGCCUGACCCUCUGCUGGAAGCGCUCCUGGCACUUCAGCCGCCAGGGACUCAUCCGAGGAGGCGCUUGGGGCCUUGUUAACGGCAUGGGGAGCUUAUUUAUGUUGGCAAUUUAAAAAAUGAUAUGUUCAGAAGUGAAGCUAACUNUGUCAGCUGGCCCAACUCUCCCGUGACUGUCCUUUGCUGGCUCAGCUGAGGCUUCUGGAGCGGGGGUGGUUGUGAGUCUAUGAAUGGUGAUGAUUGAGCUGAAGGGCAUUACAGAGGCUCUGGCGCAGUGGGCUCUCAGCUGAGAGGUGAUGGCACUGCGGGGAGUUCCCUGUGAUGCAAUGGGUUAAGGAUCUUGAGUUGUCACUGCAGCGGCUCAGUUUAUUGCUGUGGCGUGUGUUCAAUACCUGGCCUGGGAACUUCCAAAUGCUGUUGGUGAGAUGGGAAAAAAAAAAAGUGCCUAUUUGGUCAUUAAGAUAAAGUAUAAGAGGAGUUCCCAUUGUGGACCAGAGUUAGGAACCCAACUAGUGUCCAUGAAGAUGUGGGUUCAAAUCCUGGCCUCGCUCAGUGGGUUAAAGAUUCAGUGUUGCAGAAAACUAUGGUGUAUGUUGCAGAAGUGGCUUGGAUUUGGUGUUGCUAUGGCUGUCGUAGGGGCUGGCAGCUGCAGCUCUGACUGGAUCCCUAGCCUGGGAACUUCCCUAUGCUGCAGGUCCUAAAAAGAAAAGAAAAAAAAAAAAAGAUAAGGUUCAGGAAAUGCUAGGACAUCAGGAUUUUCUUUAAAAUCUUCUGGGCGGGUGCAUAUGGAAAAAUGCAAAUCUAAAGGACAUCAAGGAGAGAGUUGAUAAGAUCUGAACACGAGGGUUAGAUAAUAGUAGUUUAUCACUGUAAAAUGUCCCAGUUUUUUUUUUA